rnacentral:rRNA from 1 species
UACGUAGGGGGCAAGCGUUGUCCGGAUUUACUGGGCGUAAAGCGCGUGUAGGCGGCUAUCUAAGUCGGGCGUGAAAUCCCAUGGCUCAACCAUGGAAGUGCACCCGAAACUGGGCAGCUAGAGUCCUGGAGAGGAAGGUGGAAUGCUUGGUGUAGAGGUGAAAUUCGUAGAUAUCAAGCGGAACACCGGUGGCGAAGGCGGCCUUCUGGACAGUGACUGACGCUGAGACGCGAAAGCGUGGGGAGCAAACAGG